rnacentral:rRNA from 1 species
GACGAACGCUGGCGGCGUGCUUAACACAUGCAAGUCGAACGGAAAGGCCCUGCUUGCCGGGUACUCGCGUGUCGAACGGGUGAGUAACACGCGGGUGUUCUGCCCUGCACUUCGGGAUAUGCCUGGGCAACAGGGUCUAUUACACGAUAGGAUCCAUCUUUAGUCUGGUUGUUGGUAAGUUUUUUGGGUGUAGGGUGAGCUCGCGGCCUAUCUGCUUGGUGGUUGGGUAAUGGCCUACCAAGGCGGCGACGGGUAGCCGGCCUGCGAGGGUGGACGGCCACAUUGGGACUGAGAUACGGCCCAGACUCCUACGGGAGGCAGCAGUGGGGAAUAUUGCACAAUGGGCGCAAGGCUGAUGCAGCGACGCCGGGGGGGGGAUGAAGGCCUUCGGGUUGUAAACUCCUUUCGCUAGGGACGAAGCUUUUUGUGACGGUACCUAGAUAAGAAGCACCGGCUAACUACGUG